GCAAGUCGAGGGAGAAACUAUCUUCGGAUAGCGGAGACCGGCAGACGGGUGAGUAACACGUGGGAACAUACCUUGUACUGGGGGAUAACAGUUGGAAACGACUGCUAAUACCGCAUACGCCCUUCGGGGGAAAGAUGUAUCGGUAUAAGAUUGGCCCGCGUUAGAUUAGCUAGUGGGUAAGGUAACGGCUUACCAAGGCGACGAUCUAUAGCUGGUUUGAGAGGAGGAGC
rnacentral:rRNA from 1 species